CGCGUAGGCGGGCUUGCAAGUCCGGGGUGAAAGCCCCCAGCUCAACUGGGGAAGUGCCUUGGAAACUGCGGGUCUAGAGGGAGGUAGGGGCAUGUGGAACUUCGGGUGGAGCGGUGAAAUGCGUUGAUAUCCGAAGGAACGCCGGUGGCGAAAGCGACGUGCUGGAUCUCUUCUGACGCUGAGGCGCGAAAGCCAGGGUAGCGAACGGGAUUAGAUACCCCGGUAGUCCUGGCCCUAAACGAUGGGUACUAGGUUGCGGACUUAACAUGGGUUCGCAGCCGAAGCAAAAGUGGUAAGUACCCCGCCUGGGGAGUAUGGUCGCAAGGCUGAA
rnacentral:rRNA from 1 species